CACGUAGGGCGCAAGCGUUGUCCGGAAUUAUUGGGCGUAAAGAGCUCGUAGGCGGUCUGUUGCGUCCGCUGUGAAAACUCGGGGCUUAACCCCGAGCCUGCAGUGGAUACGGGCAGACUAGAGGUAGGUAGGGGAGAAUGGAAUUCCCGGUGUAGCGGUGAAAUGCGCAGAUAUCAGGAGGAACACCGGUGGCGAAGGCGGGUCUCUGGGCCGGAACUGACGCUAAGGAGCGAAAGCGUGGGGAGCGAACAGG
rnacentral:rRNA from 1 species